AUACUCGGAUUAUUAUGUCAAUUAGCAAUCCAUACUUGAACUAGUUUCAUUCUGAAUUAAUUUUUUUUUUUAAUUCUGCAGGAUAUUGGUAUUUCUAAGCCCGCAUUGUGCACAAUUCCUGGUGCUGUUGAGGGACGAAAGGUUUCAAUCAAGAUUCAAAUUCCUGCGACACGUGAUGCUGCACAGCUAAUUGCAAAUAUUGCUUCUGAUCUUGGACUAAUAUACGUGUUCCUUCCAUAUUUCUCUUAUUAGUUGGUUCUAUCAAUGUUUCUUCAGUUCUAACUAUCACAUUUGGGUUAUAUUUAUGCUGCGUUUUUUAGCCCUAUAUCAUUAAUUGUGGGUUUGUGAAUCAAAAUAUGCUUAAUAGUGCUAUAUGUCCUUGUGAACUAUGUCAGUCGAAUUUAUUGGCAAGUAAUGCUAGCUCGCCCAGAGAAAAGAAGAAAUUGGAGGUGAAGAAGGGGAUCUGUGAAUUCACGUAUUCCGCUCAGUAAUUCCCUUUUCAGAUAGAUUUGUAAGUCUACGUUUUAUGAUGGUUACGAACAUUUUGCCCUGCAGUUGGUCUUGUUUUACUUUAUGCUGCUGUUUCAGUUUACCAAAUGUAAUAAAGUGGUUGCUUUUGAAACUUUCGUAUCAGUCAGCGUUAACUAUUGCAGGAAAUCGAAUUUGUGAAGGAUGGGAGCUGGAGUCCGCAAGAGUUGGAGCUCUGGUGUCUACUUUUGGUUUACGAUUAGCUGGUGUGAAGAUCCGUACGUUUACUUGUAAUGGGGUUUUAAAUAAUUAUAGACAAGAGUUUUACAUGAUCGAUUGUAUUAUCACUUUUUAUGAUCAAAGCUGUUUUGCUUCUGUUCUGCCAUGGACAUGUAUGGUUCAUUCUCCUUGUGCAGGUCGAGCCUGACGAGCGCCAAAAGAACGACUUUGCAACAUUGGUUUGCUAGAGGCGAGGCGAGACAAGACGAGAUUAACUCCUCGGCUCUUCUAUCAAUUAGAUAGUUUAUCAAUAAAAUAAAAGUUUGAGUAAUUUUAGAAUACUAUGUUUUUAACAUUUCAUAUUCAACAAUUUGAUUAAUUUGGAAUACUAUUGUAGUGACAUCCUCGUUAUAAACAAAUUUCUCUCCUUGAGAUCA